CCUACGGGCGGCAACAGUGAGGAAUAUUGGUCAAUGGCCGGAAGGCUGAACCAGCCAUGCCGCGUGAAGGUCAGUGCCCUAUGGGCGUUAAACUUCUUUUGUGCGGAAGCAAUAAUGGUCACGUGUGGCCAGACGAGAGUACCGUACGAAUAAGCAUCGGCUAACUCCGUGCCAGCAGCCGCGGUAAUACGGGGGAUGCAAGCGUUAUCCGGAUUUAUUGGGUUUAAAGGGUGCGUAGGCUGUGAGGUAAGUCAGCGGUGAAAUGCCCCCGCUCAACGGGGUGAAGUGCCAUUGAUACUGCCUGGCUGGAAUGCGGAUGCCGUGGGAGGAAUGUGUGGUGUAGCGGUGAAAUGCAUAGAUAUCACACAGAACACCGAUUGCGAAGGCAUCUCACGAAUCCGCGAUUGACGCUGAUGCACGAAAGCGUGGGUAUCAAACAGGAUUAGAUACCCGGGUAGUC
rnacentral:rRNA from 1 species